AGAGAAAGUUGUAACUAAAAGUAGCUGCUAACUAACUUUUAAAGCGGUUAAAAUCCGUUUUUCUCUU
rnacentral:tRNA from 1 species